UAAUGAAUAUGUAUAUCAAACUCAAAACGAGGCUAAGGUCGUAUCGAGUGAAAACAAAAAUAGAAAAUGGAGGAGAAAAAAGCGUCUGCUACGCGCGAUUUAAUUAUCGUUCCAGAUCUCACGUUCGGCUUCGUUGAGAAAUUUGUCAAAAGAGAUAGCCAAAGCCUUGGAGAAAAGGAAAUAUCCAAAGGAUAUAAAUAUUUCUGUGAGAGAUGUGUGACUAACAUUACAAGUAAGUGGAAACCCUUCGUUUGCCUUUUCCUAUGAAUUGAUAAUCAGCUGUUUUUAAAAAUACACGACGAACGUAAAGAAACAGAUUCUUACAUUAAAUCUCAUGUUUAAUGAAUAAUCACCAUCAAUCAAAUAACUCAUCAAAUUUGUAUUUUCAAACAAUUUAGCUCACAAUGCUGUGAAUGGAUGUGUUGUGAAGGGGAAAUGCCAUAGAUCCCAGCGCAAGAAUGAAUCGCCUCAUGAAUCAUGAUAUCGAGAUUGUUCUGUUAGAUGGACCAUGUGUGGAGAGUAGCCGUUGUUCCUGCACGAUUGGACAGUCGGGACACUGUGGUCAUGUUACUGGUCUCCUAUUCACUCUGGCACAUAUGAAAUCUGCAAACCUGAAAUUCAUUCCAUCUGAUGUUCUGAAGACUCUUUAUUUGCCUAUGAACCUCUAACUGCAAGACUGAAGACAACAAGAAAAGUUGUUACAGAGAGCAUGCGUCAUGGGUUGUCAUUUGAGGCAGUUGCUGCUGACGCCUUUGUUAGACUACUAGAUAACAAUGUCAACAUAUACCCAUGUGGAGUUGUAGUUAGCCCUUAUGCUCCAUGGCUUACUGCUACACCUGAUCGGAAGGUAUACAACCCCACCAUGAAUCAACCUUACGGCUUGCUUGAGAUCAAGUGCCCUGUAAAACCCUUGUCAGAA